UACGAAGGGGGCGAGCGUUGUUCGGAUUUACUGGGCGUAAAGGGCGCGCAGGCGGCUUAUUUUGUCAGGCGUGAAAGCCCCGGGCUUAACCUGGGAACUGCGUUUGAUACGGAUGGGCUAGAGUUCGGGAGAGGAGAGUGGAAUUCCCAGUGUAGAGGUGAAAUUCGUAGAUAUUGGGAAGAACACCGGUGGCGAAGGCGGCUCUCUGGACCGAUACUGACGCUGAGGCGCGAAAGCGUGGGGGAGCAAACAGG
rnacentral:rRNA from 1 species